rnacentral:rRNA from 1 species
CGAACGGGUGAGUAACGCGUGAGGAACCUGCCUCAAAGAGGGGGACAACAGUUGGAAACGACUGCUAAUACCGCAUAAGCCCACGGCUCGGCAUCGAGCAGAGGGGAAAGGAGUGAUCCGCUUUGAGAUGGCCUCGCGUCCGAUUAGCUGGUUGGUGAGGUAACGGCCCACCAAGGCGACGAUCGGUAGCCGGACUGAGAGGUUGAACGGCCACAUUGGGACUGAGACACGGCCCAG